rnacentral:lncRNA from 1 species
AGCGGCCAAGAUGCGCAUGCGCGGGGACGUGGCAUUACGUGGCGGCUCGAAGGUUGAAGGCAAAAGGGGAGCGGAGGCGAGAGGAACCUCUUAGCUAGGUUCCGCCGAAGCCCCACCCACUGCGCAGACCCCGCCUCCCACCGCAGGGGCACGCCUCCUACCCCCACCCUUCGCGGAUUGAUCCUGCUGGCCGCAGCCACCCACGUGGUGGAAGCCCGGCCCUGCAGGCUGGAGAGGAUUUGAUUAGACUACGCGUUUCGACUUGCAGGGUGUUUAAUCGUCGCCAAGCGGGACUUACUGCAAGCUAUCAAAUCUGAGGUCUUAUUUUGUUGAGUCGAAAGUGAAAUUUUCCUUUGGCCAACGUGACAGGGCUUUGUUUGGUGGUAAAAAGGGUUACUAGACACCCCUCAUUCCACUGCCACUGGAGGGCGCAUUUCUCAGCUCUUGCUCUUCAAACCUGCUGAAAGGAAUUCCUAGAUCUAAACACCAGCAGCAUCCCCUGCACAGGAGUGAUGGACAGUUGGGUGCAAAGGUGAUGAAGGUGGGAUCCCCGAGGCAUUGUCACUACAGAACAACCAUGAAAUAGACUCCUUAUUUCAGAGGAAGAGUUACAUAUUAAUCCACUUCUACUGAUUUUGUAGAGGGAGAAAAGUCAGGGACUGUGUUGUAUUCCUGUUUGCAUCCUUUAAUCAUCUAGUAUAAUUCCUUUAAUAUGGUAGAUGCUCAGGAACUACCUGAGUUAAUAAAGGAAGAGAAAACUUGAACAAAUUGUGACGGCCUGACUUGCACUGUUAAUACUUCUGGCUUUCAUAAAUCUAAGCAUUCAGGAUAAGAGUCCUAUGAAUCAUUAAAAUACAUAUAAUCAAAAUUAAGAGUGAUCUUUUUCUAAACCAAACCUGACAAUAGAUCAACGAACAAAAUUCAUUGGUUUGAAAUUCAUUUUUUCAAAUUGCUUUUUUCAGUGGCCCACUUAACUUUCUAGUGGAAAACUCGCAAAAACAACGAAAUAUAAUUGCAUAAGAUUGUUUUUUAGUUGGGGUGGUAGUAAGGUGGAAUGUU